rnacentral:rRNA from 1 species
UACGUAGGGUGCGAGCGUUAAUCGGAAUUACUGGGCGUAAAGCGUGUGCAGGCGGUUCGUUAAGACAGAUGUGAAAUGCCCGGGCUUAACCUGGGAGCUGCAUUUGUGACUGCAUGGCUAGAGUUUGGCAGAGGGGGGUAGAAUUCCACGUGUAGCAGUGAAAUGCGUAGAUAUGUGGAGGAACACCGAUGGCGAAGGCAGCCCCCUGGGUCAAGACUGACGCUCAUGCACGAAAGCGUGGGGAGCAAACAGG